UACGUAGGAGGCAAGCGUUAUCCGGAAUGACUGGGCGUAAAGGGUGCGUAGGUGGUUUGACAAGUUGGUAGCGUAACUCCGAGGCUUAACCUCGGCACUACUACCAAAACUGUUGGACUCGAGUGCAGGAGGGGCAAAUGGAAUUCCUAGUGUAGCGGUGGAAUGCGUAGAUAUUAGGAGGAACACCAGUGGCGAAGGCGAUUUGCUGGACUGUAACUGACACUGAGGCACGAAAGCGUGGGGAGCAAACAGG
rnacentral:rRNA from 1 species